rnacentral:rRNA from 1 species
CGUGAGUGAAGAAGGUUUUCGGAUCGUAAAGCUCUGUCAAGUGGGAAAAAUGUUUUACUAUUAAUAGUGGUGAAAUUUGAUGGUACCACUAGAGGAAGCACCGGCUAACUCCGUGCCAGCAGCCGCGGUAAUACGGAGGGUGCGAGCGUUGUUCGGAAUUACUGGGCGUAAAGAGCAUGUAGGCGGUAUGGUAAGUCAGAUGUGAAAGCCCUGGGCUUAGCCCAGGAAGUGCAUUUGAUACUGCCAUUCUUGAGUAUGGGAGAGGAGAGUGGAAUUCCUAGUGUAGAGGUGAAAUUCGUAGAUAUUAGGAGGAACAUCCGUGGCGAAGGCGACUCUCUGGACCAAUACUGACGCUGAGAUGCGAAAGCGUGGGGAGCAAACAGGAUUAGAUACCCUGGUAGUCCACGCCGUAAACGAUGAGAACUAGGUGUAGCGGGUAUUGACCCCUGCUGUGCCGAAGUUAACGCAUUAA